rnacentral:rRNA from 1 species
GCUACUGUCAUCGACCGUAGGGAUUAAAUUGAUCAUGGUCAACCGAGGGGUAAGCAGGCUACACAUGCAAGUCAGAACGGUAGCACAGAGCAGCUUGCUCUCAGGGUGACGAGUGGCGGACGGGUGAGUAAUGUCUGGGAAACUGCCCGAUGGAGGGGGAUAACUACUGGAAACGGUAGCUAAUACCGCAUAACGUACGCAAGACCAAAGAGGGGGACCUUCGGGCCUCUUGCCAUACGGAUGUAGCCCAGAUAGGGAUUAGCUAUGUAGGUAGAGGUAACGGCUCACCUAGGCGACGAUCCCUAGCUGGUACUGAGAGGAUGACCAGCCGCACUGGAACUGAGACACGGUCCAGACUCCUACGGGAGGCAGCAGUUGGGGAAUUAUUGCACAAUUGGGCGCAAGCCUGAUAGCAGCCAUGCCGC